AGCGAACGCUGGCGGCAGGCUUAACACAUGCAAGUCGAACGGGCACUUCGGUGUCAGUGGCAGACGGGUGAGUAACACGUGGGAACGUACCUUUUGGUUCGGAACAACUGAGGGAAACUUCAGCUAAUACCGGAUAAGCCCUUACGGGGAAAGAUUUAUCGCCGAAAGAUCGGCCCGCGUCUGAUUAGCUAGUUGGUAGGGUAAUGGCCUACCAAGGCGACGAUCAGUAGCUGGUCUGAGAGGAUGAUCAGCCACAUUGGGACUGAGACACGGCCCAAACUCCUACGGGAGGCAGCAGUAGGGAAUAUUGGACAAUGGGGGCAACCCUGAGCCAGCCAUGCCGCGUGAGUGAUGAAGGCCCUAGGGUUGUAAAGCUCUUUUGUGCGGGAAGAUAAUGACGGUACCGCAAGAAUAAGCCCCGGCUAACUUCGUGCCAGCAGCCGCGGUAA
rnacentral:rRNA from 1 species